CCUACGGGAGACAGCAGUGAGGAAUAUUGGUCAAUGGUCGGGAGACUGAACCAGCCAAGCCGCGUGAGGGAUGAAGGUACAGAGUAUCGUAAACCUCUUUUGUCAGGGAACAAAGGCGGGGACGUGUCCCCGGAGGAGUGUACCUGAAGAAAAAGCAUCGGCUAACUCCGUGCCAGCAGCCGCGGUACUACGGAGGAUGCGAGCGUUAUCCGGAUUGAUGGGGUGGAAGGGGUGUGCAGGCGGUCUGUUAAGUCAUCGGUCAAAGCCCGGGGCCCAACCCGGGCCCGCCGUUGAAACUGGCAGUCUCGAGUUGGAGAGAAGUAUGCGGAAUGCGCGGUGUAGCGGUGAACUGCAUAGAUAUCGCGCAGAACUCCGAUUGCGAAGGCAGCAUGCCGGCUCCACACUGACGCUGAGGCACGAAAGCGUGGGUAUCGAACAGGAUUAGAUACCCGUGUAGUC
rnacentral:rRNA from 1 species